UACGUAGGGGGCAAGCGUUGUCCGGAAUCAUUGGGCGUAAAGCGCGCGUAGGCGGCCCGGUAAGUCCGCUGUGAAAGUCCAGGGCUCAACCCUGGAAAGCCGGUGGAUACUGUCGGGCUAGAGUCCGGAAGAGGCGAGUGGAAUUCCUGGUGUAGCGGUGGAAUGCGCAGAUAUCAGGAGGAACACCGGUGGCGAAGGCAGCUCGCUGGGACGGUACUGACGCUGAGGCGCGAAAGCGUGGGGAGCGAACAGG
rnacentral:rRNA from 1 species